UACGAAGGUCCCAAGCGUUAUCCGGAUUUAUUGGGUUUAAAGGGUGCGUAGGCGGGUUAUUAAGUCAGUGGUGAAAGCCUUCAGCUUAACUGAGGAACUGCCAUUGAUACUGAUGAUCUUGAGUAUGAUUGAGGUGGGCGGAAUGUGUCAUGUAGCGGUGAAAUGCUUAGAUAUGACACAGAACACCGAUUGCGAAGGCAGCUCACUAAGCCAUAACUGACGCUGAUGCACGAAAGCGUGGGGAGCAAACAGG
rnacentral:rRNA from 1 species